UUUCACCCUCUCACAAGGUGUAUCCAAUAAACAGUACAGUCACUGAUCUUUGUCAACUUUUAAAGAAAAUAACAGAAUAUGAAGAAGGAAGACUAUAUAUAGGAUCGAUCUACUUCAUAACUGGAAAAAGAGAAGCAGUUCACAAAUGUUGAUGAGCAGAAGAGAAGAAACUCUGGCUGCACAAAAAUCUGAGCUCUUGAAAAAGAAACAAAAAAAAAGAAAUGAAAAUAUGAAUGAUAUUCAAUCAAAGGAUCCAAAUGAUGAAAUUCUGGAAAUUCCACAUGGAGAGACAAUAAGGAUUUCCAGCAUGCGAUAGGCAAAGGCCUGUUCAGCUCACAGGUUAUAGUUACGCAUUUACCAUCUCUGCUCGAACUGCUUGAAAGCAAUGAAAACUGUUUCCCUGGUGCUGAACAAACUUUUCUCCUAGACUGGAAUUAAAAACUGUUCAAUUUCUGGCAUUAAAACACAAUUUGAAACAUGCUGAAGAAGGAUCCCCCUCUCCUUUUGACCAAGUAAGGUUAAACAUUCUGCAAAGAGUUGCAUUGAAUUGAAUUUUUUUUUAUACUUUUACCAGGAAUGAACUACAUUACUCAUUUACUAUGGUUUAAUGUGUCAGAUUGUCUAUUUUAAUUUUUUUGAAAAAAGAUUUUGUUGCCAUGGUUGGAAAACAAACAACAUUUCUGUAAAAUCUUUCAAGAUGCUGUAUUAUAAAUCAUCUACUGUUACUUUUUUUAGCAUGACUUCAUGCAUUUUCAUGAAUAAACAUGAAUAAUAA